GUUGUGGAAUUUAUUUGCCAUUUAAGGUAGAUCAAAGGAAAUUUCUAUUAGUAAAUGAAUCAAAUGAAGAAUCUUCAUGGUUAAAUGCAUAGAAAGGAUAUUUGAAGAGAGCCAAUGAUUGACAUAAGGAGAAGCAGUUAUGAAUUUUGAAAUUGAUAUGAAGGAGAGGUCAUUCAUCACAGAAGAUUUAAUCAAAGUUUACAGUAUGUUGAGAGAAGUUCAGAACAAGCAAUUUGGUUGAAGAGGAGUUGUCAACACGUCAUCUUUGAAUAAGGUCAAUUGUAUUAGAAGUGAAUCCUUAACAGAAAUGAGACAAUAAUCAAAUAACUCAAAGACUACAUGGAUGUUAUCUGGACUAGCAUUUGUAUGACCUAAAUGUGGUAUUUUUCAUAUGAACACUUACUAGGCAGAUAAUAGUCUGUGACAAACAUUUGUAUGCUAUUAAAGACUUGAAGAACUUGUACGGUAUUCUUCAGAUUUCAGUAGAAUUUGUUUAAAACGGUACAUUCUUGGUAUGAAUUGAAGAAUUUUUGCUCAUUUAAAUGAAUUAUGAAAAUGUUUUAUAUGUUUAGAAUAAACAAAAACAACAUAAAAGAUGGACAAAUUUUUAUUUUCUUUCUUGAAACUUAUAACAGAAUAAAUUGUCAUAUGCUAA